rnacentral:misc_RNA from 1 species
UUUCCGUAGGUGAACCUGCGGAAGGAUCAUUAUUGUAUAACCGAGGUGCGAGGGCUGUCGCUGACCCGAAAGGUCGUGCACGCCCGAGUGCCCUCACACACAUCCAUCUCACCCCUACGUGCACCACCGCGUGGGUCCCCCUUUGGCUUGUUCGGAGGGGGGCUUACGUUUUCACACCAACUUUGUAUGCAGUGUAGAAUGUAUUUUUUGUUUUUGCGAUCACGCAAUCAAUACAACUUUCAACAACGGAUCUCUUGGCUCUC